UUAAUACUCCCUCCAUCCUAAAAAAAUUAUCUUAGAUUUGUCUAGAUAUGAAUGUAUCUAGUCACGUUUUGGUAUUUAGAUACAUCCUUUUCAGACAAACUUAAGACAAGAAUAUUAGGACGGAGGGAGUACAUA
rfam:Hordeum vulgare subsp. vulgare, WGS project CAJW01000000 data, contig: morex_contig_88322